CUCUGCAGCUUUAAGUGAAAUCACAAAGGAGGCUGGAAUAAGUCCAGCAAUGAUGUAAACAAGCAGAUCCUUAGCUGGAGCGCCCCCUGCCCUGGCAGAACAGACACUGCAGCGCGGCUGGGAGAGAAAAACAACUUUGAUUGGCAUCGAUGUUGGCCAAAUGCUUUCUCUACAGCAAAGAGAGAGAGAAAAAAUGCAAAGAAGGGGGGAAAACGGCUAUUGAUAAGCUCCUAUACAAGAGAUUGGUCAACAAAUAAUUGGGAGGUAAUUGACUAUGAAUCAGAAAACAGAGUGGGAAUAAAUGGACCCUUCCUCAAACUGACUGCAGAGGGCAGCACAGAAGGUCUGACAUCUCUGGCAGUGUUCAGGGCUCCAUUCAUCGUGUCAGCAGCUUCCUCUCAGCUUUCAUUUUAGUCAUCUAUGCAAGUCCUGGGUGGAGACUCAGGAAUACCAUCACACUCAGGUAACAAUUUUGUUUUACCCGUCAGGGUUGUAGGCCCUGAGCUGGACCCCCAACCCUGGAGGACCAGUGGACAACUCUUAGUCUGGCCUCUAACCUUUGACCUGUUUGGAAUGGGUGACCCUACCAAGAAACAAAGCCUAAAGCUCUAAAGUUGACUCCAGCCAACAUCGCUCUGCAGGUCACUGAGGGACUCAAGCCUCCAAACUCUACGGCAAGUUCAUGGUCUUCCUGGAGGUGCUCAGCUUUGCAAAUCUGAGGUCGGUUAGGUGGCUGCCUUGGAAGUAAAUCAGCAGAGUGAAAGUGGAUGAGAGCUCCAGGCUGCCGGCAGGUUUUGUGAGCCGGGCCUCAUCACUGACAAACAGUUGAACCCGAAAGGAUGUGCUUCUGCUAUUUUCCAGCUUCUGCUUGUGGUAGGGGCUGAUUUCAAACCCCUCUGGUUUGACAUUCUUGGAUUAGGGCAUAGAAAUGUUAUUUUCCUUGCAGUUAAAUUCUCCUAAGCUUGCUUAUAAUUCCCAGUUUAAGAUGGUGAUGGAUUGCUGACAGCAAAUAAAAAUACUAACUAGUAUAUUAAUCACACGCUUUCUCAAAAUAAUUAUCACUGCAAUCAAAAGCCUGCAACUUUCCUUUCGGAUUUGAACUUUUGUACUCCCUGUAUGACCCGGCACUUUUGUGGUGUGAUCUGAAGCCUUGAAGGUGCAGGACAGUUGUGGCAUCAUGCACAGGCCAAACUGAGGCAUCAGGGCCCAGGCCUGAGAGUGGGGAAUGAGCCACCGUUUGUCCCUGCUGGAGAGGACCUGAAGGCAAUUCGAAGCAGCAGAACUGAGGCAAGGCAGAGUCGAGGCCUGUGCUUGAGAGCAAGGAACAAGUUGAUGUUUGACCGAUUUAAGCACUGGGCCAGACUGGAAAGGUUGCGCACAGGCCAAAUCGAACCUGUGGGGCCCAGACCUGAGAGUGUACCGAAUUGGCAAAGCCUACGUCUGAGGAACGACUUGCUGUUUGGCCGAUGUAAGCUCCAGGCCAGAUUGUAAAGGUCAGUGUGUCAGAGCUGGAGGAGAUGGAUGGGCUAGUGUACAACUCGGUGCUCAGCAAGAUUUACUCACCUCUGCUCUGAACUGGGUCUGUGGCCUGCAACUAACAGGCUCCUGGACUGGCUGAAGUGAUGACCGGAUUCAUGGCUGUGAACUCACUUUAGUGAACUUUAGUAUGGAAUGUUAUUUGCUUGUGUUUGUUUCUGCAUAAUGGGGGUUGGGUGGCCUUUUCUAGCAGGUUCUGUUGGGUUUCUUUGACUUGCAGCUCUGCCUGUAAGGAGACAAAUCUUGGGGUCUACAAAUGAAAAAAUGCAGGAUCCAAUUGUACAAGGAGGAAUUGAAGCCAAGAUCGUGGAACUUGUUGAUUAGUUUUAAGGUUAUGAUGAUAUCAAAUGCUGAGCUGUAGUUGAUAAAGAACAUCCUGAUGUAUGUACCUUUGCUGUCCAGAUGCUCCAGGAAUGAGCGAAGAGCCAAUGAAAUAUCAUGGGCUGAGGACCUGUUGCUUCAGCAAAUUGGAGCAGAUCCAAGUCAUCUCUCAGGCAGGAGUCGAUAUGUUUCAUCUCCAGUCUCUUGAAACAAUUCAUCAUUGUGGAUGGAAGUCCAGCUAGAUGAUAGUCAUUGAGAAAGGUUACCAUGGUAUUCUUGGACACCAGUAUGAUUGAAGCCUGCUUGAAGGGUUUUCUUCAAACAAGCCUGGUUGAAGUCUCUGACAAUAAUUUGAAAUGGUUCAGUUUGGGCUGUUUCUUGUUUGGAGAUGGCAAGCAGCGUCUAGAAGCUUCCUUAGUUUUUCUGCAGUAGGUAUCACGCUGCUUGAAAGUGGAUAUCUAGCGGCUUAAUCAUUAUCACUAGAACGUUGUUCAUCUCUGCUUUGAAGAUGACCACAACUUCUUUUCCCUUGCUUUUUGUUCAUUUUUGUUCUUGUAACACCUAAUAAAAUGGCCAGAACCA